rnacentral:misc_RNA from 1 species
UGAUUCUGUUCAUUUUACAGGCCACCGAACCAACAUGUUUGCUUUCGCGGAAAAGGUGAAACACGCACGAAUAUUUAUUGUGACUUACCCAUCACUUACAAUCGUGACUCAACUAAAAGAUACGGACAUAAACCGGUACAAGGGUCUGUGCAUGAUGGAGGGCGAGCUGGUGGCGGGGUUCUCCGGGUACCCCAACUACAUGGUGACUGUGUGGAGCUGGCGCACCUGCCAGCGCCUGCUCGCGCUGCCCACCGGCGUCAUCCGCCGCCAGCAGAUCUACAUGGCAAGCCGGUCGCACAUGUUGGUGUGCCAGUGCUACGGCGAAGGUCUGAUCGUGUGGGAGGUGGCGCCGUGCUUCCGGCGCUGCUUCAUGAUGCGGCGUGCCAAAGAGGAGGUGACAGGCUGGGGCCUCGCCGAGCCCAAGCUCAUCGGCGUCUGCUGGACCAACGAGGGGCUGCUCUACGCCAUCGACGCCACCGCUAGACUCUACGGCGUGACAACAGAUGGUAUCAUCAUGAUACCCACGGUGGAAUGGAACGAGGAUCUAAAAGGCGAGAACACGCCCUGCGUGUGCGCCUUCGGGACCGGUAUUCUUAUUUACGGGCCAGAUCAACAUUUUCGGUGGGUGAAGAAGAACGAGCAGCAGAAGUGGCGUGUAGUGUGGAAGCAGGAGGUGGAGCGCGACGACCAGGUGGUGCGGCUGGUGGGCAACGCGACGGCGGAGGUGGCAGUGGGCUGGACUCGCGGCGGCCGCGUGCUGCGGCUCGCGCCGCCCGCGCCGGACUCGGACCGCGCUGACGUGCGCCUCGUCGCCUACAAGCAGAGGAACAUAAUAAAGAUGAAACUGAUCGCGCCGGACUUCAAGCACGUGGCCACGAUGAGCGAUCAAAAUGACAUGUGCAUUUACGAAGUGAUCUCCGCUAAAAUGGUGUUGAGAAGGAUUCUGGACGGUAAAGACAUGUCGUUCCAAGCGAGCCCGGUGGAGCCGGUGCUGGCGGUGGUGGGCAGCGUGGACGUGAACUACGGCCUGGCCAUGCUGCGCUGGGACGCGCACGAGCCGCAGCUGACGCGCGCCUUCAGCACCAGCCUCACGCACCAGCAGGUGUCGCGCGUCGCGUUCUCGCCCUCCGGCCGCGAGCUCGCCGCCGUCGCUAUGGCUGCCGGGCACAUCUUCAUUUACAAGGUAGCCAAGGACUACAAAUUAACGCUAGUGCGUUAUUCGGAAGUAGGCCGCGGACUCGCCGACUGCUUCCUCAUGAAAGUAGGAGAGGCCAUGCGUUGCUUCGGUCUCGUACACUUCUCUGACAAGCACUUGAUUGGCGAGCGCAUCAUCUGCAUCAACGCGGUGUCGGGCAAGGACAACAAGUUCGCGGGCAAGAUGGCGGGCCCGUACGCUCGCCUGCUGCCGCUCAGCAUCAAGGACUCCAUGCUUGCCAUACCCUACCUCUCCAGGAACUAUCACAUCCUCAAACUCACUGGAGACAAAGGCGUGACGGUGUCAGUCCGUAUGGGCCCGAUCAUCGACUCGGGUCACGACCUGAAGCAGUUCAGCGGCGUGCGCGGCGAGCUCGGGCUCAUGACGUACGGCGCUGACGGGGCCGUGGUGCUGCGCCAGCCAGACGCUCCCCCCACGUACGACUUCAAGUACGUGGCGUCACACCGCUACGAGCCGGGCAUCAAGUACGUGGUGUUGGAGAACACGAACAAGUACUUCGUGCACCUGGGCAAGAACCGCACAUUGGCCGUGACGUACUGCUACACGAAGAGCGACGCCGUGCGCGAGGAGCUGCACGACGAGGUGCGACACGAGGCGACGCCGCCCGCCGCGCUCGACGACGCCACCGUCGUGAUCGAGGUGUUCAAUGCCAACGAAAAUAACUACUUAGAUUUGCAAGAAGAGAAGAAGGUGCGCGAAGAGGCGUUGGAUUACAGGAAGCAGCGCGAGGAGGUGGUGCACCUGUUCGAGCAGCUGAAGGCACAGUUGGUGGGGCUGCUGGAGGAGAACAUAGCCGAGCGCCCGCUGCACCAGCUGUCGCUGUCAGAGUUCAACCUGCAUCUGGAGAACAAGAAAGAGCGGCUCAAACAGGCGGAGAAGGAGCGGGAGGAGAUCCGUCUAAAAACAGAGGCAAAGAUCAAAGCACAGGACAAGGUCACUGCCUGGAUUAAGAAGAAAUGUUGGGACACCAUGCAAAAUCCACGCGUCAAGAUAUUUGCAAUUUUCAGCCAUUAUCAAGUGGAGAACUACCCGGUGUUGCCGACGCAGCGUGACCUGUGGCCGGAGCUGCAGCAGAAGGCGGCGCUGCGCGGGUUGGAGAUGGAGAACGACGACGACGUGUUCCGCCCCUGGGACGAGACCUUCGGCAAGGCGCGCAGCGGACCUGCCAAAAACAUGCCGCGGGACUCGCUGGGUUCAAUAGACGUGGUACCGACGGAACGGCGGGCGUCGGAGUCGGUCAUGCAGCAGCACGACGCGGGCGAGGAGGCGCCGGAGGGCGAGCCCUAUGUGCUGUCGGGCUCCAGCGCGCACAAGUACAUCACCGUGCCGCCCUACAUGAUCCCGCAGACGCUCGCCUUCAGCUUCUUGCAGAUGAACUUCCUCUACGAUAUCAUCAAGCUGAUCGUGCAGCAGAUGCGUCUGUGGUUCAACAAGCAGUUCGACGAGCUGAUGGCGAUGAAGAAGCGCGAGGUGGGGCUGGUGGCCGAACGCAAUUCCCGGCUCCGGUUCAUCAUUGAAGAAUUGAACAAGCUGUCAGACUUGCGCGGCAGCUUUCACCACCUGUUGAUACAGAUCAAGGACCCGGAGUGGAGACAGGAGGAGCAGCCCAUCAAACUCAUCAAAGUGGACCCUGAAGAGUGCACGAUCCCGCCGUACAUCAGCCCGUCGCAGAUCGUCAUCGUGCCGCCGGACCCGGGCCCCAAGGACGACUUCCGCGAGCGCGCGCUCAACGAGAUGAUGGACGGCGUGCUCGAGAAGCUGUGGCACGAGGAGAUCAAGAAGCCCAUACCCAAGCCGCAAUGCAUGCUGGACAAGGAGCCGGAGAACUGGAACGAGGACGACCUGCGGCUGGUGUUCGACUACGAGGCGAAGGUCAAGUUCCGUAACGAGGAGCGCGACAAGUACCGCAAGAUGCUGCACGCCGAGUACGCCAAGCUGUCGCAGGUGCUCAACGAGGGCAUCGUCAAGUUCAACAUGAAGGUAAAAGAUACGUGGUUGAAGAAACUGAAGGUGGACUCUGUAAUCGGGCAGGAGAACUUGAACCUGAUGCGCCUGCGCCGCGCCAAUCUCGACCGUCUAGAGUCCGCCGAGAAGCUGGAAGAUUUGAGGGCGCUGAUAGUGCGGUACGAGGGCGAGGUGGAGGUGCUGCAGAAGGAGCUGGCGCAGAUCCUAGAGCAGUCGGGCGAGUGCCAGUCAGCGUACGACGCGCUCGCGCACAAGGACCGCCACUUGGACCGUGCCUUCAAGAACAACUUCGCUGACUUCUCGCCUAUUAUCGUCGAUCAGUGCUACAAGUUUUUCAAACGUCGUCCGAAGUGGCACCAGCGCGCCAGCAUGAUCCCGCUGGUGCUGUACGAGCUGGCAUCCGCCAUCCUCACCAACGUGCGCCCGCCGCUGCUGCACGUGGACUGCAUCGACUACUUCAAGGCUGUGGAGCAGUUGGACCAGCUGAGCAACAUGCCGGCGGUGCUGGACGAGGGGCUCUGGACCACCAUGUGUCGCUUGCGCCGCGUCAAGAUGGAGAACGAGAUACGCAUGCGCGCCGUGAUCCUGGAGACGGCGUACGUGGACAGCGCGACCAACACGUGGAACCGCGCCGUGAGCGCGCGCCGCACCUUCCUCAGCCAGAGCAGCGCGCGCAUGAUGCUGCACCGCGACAAGGAACACGCCGCCGCCGUCAACCGACAGCUGCAGUUGGUGCUUCCUGCGGGGCAAGUAGAGAUUAUAACGAGCGGGCACAUGGAGGACUUCGAGGACGCCGCCCUCAUUCCACGUGAAGAUGUCGAAGUCAUCAAUAGACUUAUAUUGAAAGUGGGUGCGCUGAAGCUGCGCAUGAUGCGUCGUCAGAUGGAGUUUCGCAAGGGCAUCCUGGCCAAGGAGUGGGAGCACGCACAGAUGAAGAUGAAGCUGCGGCACAUGCAGCAGGAGCUCUACACGUACACGAGACUGAGGGUGCGCUGCUAGCUUGCUAAAUGUACCUAAACAUAUUAACUGAGAGGAAAAGUCGUCAGUUGGAUGUAAGACAAAGAUCCCGAAAGAACUGCAGUGGUUCCUGAAGAAGAAGGAGUUGGGCUACACAGACGAGCACGAUUACACGCGGCUGGAGAAGGAGAUGGCUGCCAACAAGAUGAGCAUCGAGCGCGUGCUGCAGGACAG